GGCGCGGUGAGCCGUGCGCGAGGUGAGCCGGUGUCCGGCGGGAGCGGCCGACGGCCGCUCAGUCGCCCCUCGCGGCAACCGACUUGCGCGGCACCCCGGGUGAUCAGCUAAAGUCUGGAGCACGCCGAGGGGCGAGGCCGAAAGGCCCAGCUCACGGAACAUGCGGGUGUAGUUCAGUAGUAGAACAUCCCCCUUCCAGGGGGAAGGCGCAGUGUGCAAUUCCUGUCACCCGCUCUGCACCGCCGUACCGAUGGUCCGAUGGGAUCAGGUAGGCUGGUGCUCGCACCGAUCGGUGAACCGCCGGUCGGGAGCAACUGCGGACGUAGCUCAGUUGGUAGAGCGCAACCUUGCCAAGGUUGAGGUCGCGAGUUCGAGCCUCGUCGUCCGCUCGGGAAUCAGACCCCGGUCCUUAGGGCCGGGGUCUUUUCGUGUGUCCGGCCCGGGUGCCCGGCGGCUCUGACAUUUGUCAUGUCCGGUGAUGACGGCUCGCACUGUCGUCCCGCCCGGUGCGCCGGAAUGCUUGAAGCAUGCAAACGAACGAGCACGAACACGUGAUUGAGGUCACCGACCUUCGGCGUGUGUACGGGGGCGGGUUCGAGGCCGUGCGCGGAAUCGACUUCUCCGUGCGCCGCGGUGAGGUCUUCGCCCUGCUCGGCACCAACGGCGCCGGCAAGACGUCGACGGUCGAGCUCCUGGAGGGGCUGGCCGCCCCGGCCGGCGGACGGGUGCGGGUCCUCGGGCACGACCCGUACACCGAGCGGGCCGCCGUGCGCCCCCGCACCGGGGUGAUGCUCCAGGAGGGCGGCUUCCCCUCCGAGCUGACGGUCGCCGAGACGGCACGGAUGUGGGCGGGGUGCGUCAGCGGCGCCCGGCCGCCGGCCGAGGUGCUGGCGCUGGUCGGCCUGGAGGCGAAGUCCGGCACCCGCGUGAAGCAGCUGUCCGGGGGCCAGCGGCGCCGCCUGGACCUGGCGCUCGCGCUGCUCGGCGACCCCGAGGUGCUCUUCCUCGACGAGCCCAGCACCGGCCUGGACGCCGAAGGCCGCCGGGACACCUGGGAGUUGGUGGGCGCGCUGCGCGACCAGGGCACGACCGUGCUGCUGACCACGCACUACCUGGAGGAGGCCGAGCACCUCGCCGACCGGCUCGCGAUCAUGCACGACGGCCGGAUCGCCGCCACCGGCACCCCGGCCGAGGUGACCGCCGCACAGCCGUCCCACAUCUCCUUCGAACUGCCCGACGGCUACUUCGUGGGAGACCUGCCGCCGCUGGCCGAACUGGGCGUCAGCGACCACGAGACCGACGGCCGGACGGUGAAGCUGCGCACCCGGGAACUCCAGCGCGCCGCCACCGGCCUGCUGGUGUGGGCCGCGCAGGCCGCGGUGGAGCUGC
rnacentral:tRNA from 1 species